AGUGAACGCUGGCGGUAGGCCUAACACAUGCAAGUCGAACGGCAGCACAGGAGAGCUUGCUCUCUGGGUGGCGAGUGGCGGACGGGUGAGGAAUACAUCGGAAUCUACUCUGUCGUGGGGGAUAACGUAGGGAAACUUACGCUAAUACCGCAUACGACCUACGGGUGAAAGCAGGGGAUCUUCGGACCUUGCGCGAUUGAAUGAGCCGAUGUCGGAUUAGCUAGUUGGCGGGGUAAAGGCCCACCAAGGCGACGAUCCGUAGCUGGUCUGAGAGGAUGAUCAGCCACACGGGAACUGAGACACGGUCCAGACUCCAACGGGAGGCGGCAGUGGGGAAUAUUGGACAGUGGGCGCAAGCCUGAUCCAGUCAUACCGCGUGGGUGAAGAAGGCCUUCGGGUUGUAAAGCCCUUUUGUUGGGAAAGAAGUCCAGCGGGCUAAUACCCGGUUGGGAUGACGGUACCCAAAGAAUAAGCACCGGCUAACUUCGUGCCAGCCGCCGCCGUAA
rnacentral:rRNA from 1 species